CAAGUCGAACGGCAGCACGGGAGCUUGCUCCUGGUGGCGAGUGGCGAACGGGUGAGUAAAGCAUCGGAACGUACCUUGUCGAGGGGGAUAACGCAGCGAAAGUUGUGCUAAUACCGCAUACGUCCUGAGGGAGAAAGCGGGGGACCGCAAGGCCUCGCGCGAUGAGAGCGGCCGAUGUCAGAUUAGCCAGUUGGUGAGGUAAUGGCUCACCAAGGCGACGAUCCGUAACUGGUCUGAGAGGAUGAUCCGCCACACUGGGACUGAGACACGGUCCAGACUCCUACGGGAGGCAGCAGUGGGGAAUAUUGCACAAUGGAGGAAACUCUGAUGCAGCAACGCCGCGUGGAGGAUGACGCAUUUCGGUGUGUAAACUCCUUUUAUAGGGGAAGAUAAUGACGGUACCCUAUGAAUAAGCACCGGCUAACUCCGUGCCAGCAGCCGCGG
rnacentral:rRNA from 1 species